AGCUCCAAUAGCGUAUAUUUAAGUUGUUGCAGUUAAAAAGCUCGUAGUUGGAUUUCGGGUGGGCUGCGCCGGUCUCCUCACGGUUGUACUGGCGACGCCCGCCUUGCUGCCGGGGACGGGCUCCUUGCCUUAACUGUCGGGGACCCGGAGCCGGCGACGUUACUUUGAGUAAAUUAGAGUGUUCAAAGCAAGCCUACGCUCUGAAUAUAAUAGCAUGGGAUAACACGACAGGACUCUGGCCUAUCGUGUUGGUCUGUAGGACCAGAGUAAUGAUUAAGAGGGACAGUCGGGGGCAUUCGUAUGCCGGCGUCAGAGGUGAAAUUCUUGGAUUGCCGGCAGACGAACAUCUGCGAAAGCAUUUGCCAAGGAUGUUUUCA
rnacentral:rRNA from 1 species